UUCUUUCUUUCUUUUUUUUUUUUUUUUUUUUAACUAAGGUUCACGACAUCCCACCUUAAGGAAAGGAAAGCCCAGAUACGAGCUUUCACUUUUUGCCCUUCUCUCCAAUCCAGGUCCUGUGCUGGAUGAUGCUGAUGGCUCGGAGGUAUCACCGGUCCUUGAAGGGCUGACUUGAGGGGUGGGGGACAGGCACAGAGAUGGACGACGGUAACAUUCCAGGGCGAUCAGAGCCGGGACACUGGAACAGGCCAGUGAGAGCCCCAAGCCCGGGAGGGAAGGGAAUGCUGCCUGGGGGCAAAGGGGUGACAUGAGGGAAGGGGGUCAGGAAAGCUUUGCUGCCUGCCAGCAAGGGGCAGGGUUGGUUGGUUGGUUGGUUUCGUUUUUGGUUUUUUGUGUGCCUUGUUUUGUUUAGGGGAGGUGGCCUUUGGGCUAGGUCUAGAGUGAGAAGAAAUGGUGUGAGCAAAGGCCAGGUGGCUGGACCGAAAAGAUUUGAUCAUCGAAGCCAAAACUGUCUCAGCGAGUGUGAUUAGGAUUUGGGUCUCAUCCUUUGGUUAUGUCGUAUCCCAAAGAGGCGUGGCUAUUUUGUCGAGACACAGGGCUUGGAAAUGAAGGUUCGAAUCCCCGCUCCGCUACUUACAAGUCCGUGACCUAAAGCAAACUGCUUAAACUUUUGGGGUCCCCUGUUUCUUCGAGAGAUAGCCCUUCCUGGUCAAUUCCAACAUAAUGGAAUGGCUUUCGAUUUUGUUCUGCUACUGUUUCUAUUUCUGUGAAGAGGUCCGACGUCGACUUACCAGGAACCUGGCCCUUUAAGGCCCUCCUCCCACGCUAGGGAGAGGAGGCGGGCUCUAGUGUCUCUAAAGGAAUGUCCUGCAUCCGUUUUCCAACAUUGGGAGGCAAGUUCUGCAAGUGACCAAUCAACUCCUGCGUCGGGGGCAGCGAAACUUCCGAUUCGUGGGGAAACUCCAGCAGCGUUGCGUUUGAGCUCCGCCCACUCCGUGUUAGACAGCCGCGCGAGACAGUCAUUCUCGGCUCUGAUUGGCCAACAUCUCUUCUGGGCUCCUCAAUUUUCUGCCUGGCAAGUAGCAACCAUCCCCCAUGAGAGCUUUCUGUGAAGCAAUUAGGACUCUGACCUCUGGGGAAGGAGGAAGGACCUGCUCCCCUCAGAGAAACAGACCCAUCUUCUCUCUUCACCGGCUGGUCGAUUCGGAGUACAUGGUGAAGAUUCUGCAAACUCUUCCUGCAGAUGCCCAGACAGCAGACAUCUCGGACUCAGCUCUGCCUGCCGUGGGCCAGAGUCCUGCGUUCUUUUGAAUGGGCACAACUGUGAUCCAAUAAAACUUUAUUUAUGGACACC